GAAAAAAAAAGAGAAACGGAUCGUCUCCAUUCACCACCACCCUGAUUCCUCCCCCUCUCCCUCAUCUGCCGCUGCCGCCACUCACCGGCACCCUCCCCCACAGCCGUCGCCGCCACCAGUGCCCUCGCCCACAGCCUGCACCCCUAUCCUUCUCUCCUCCGCUCACCUUAUCCCCACCACAGGCGAGCUCCUCCUCCCCCCUGCUCGCCCCAGAUUGAGCAGCAGGUUAGGGUUCACGGCCACAGCGGCACGAGCGCUCCGAUGCAGGUUCAAGCCGCUUGAGGUGGGUGCUCGCUGCGGCUCUUACCCUUGUGCUGACGCCAUCGACAAGAACAUAUACCUCUGUUAGUGGAGCAGCCCCAACCCUAGCCCUUCUUCGGCCAUGGCGACCUAGCAAGCAGGAGGUUGCCAACACAAUUGGCAAGAGCUACAAAAUAUGAAAUUCCUCCCUGAACAAAGCUUGAGGAACCUGAAGUCUGCAGUCCUUCAGUCACAAGGCAUCCGAUGCUUGGUUCCAGAUGAUUGCAACAAGUUGCUUGCUCUUGUUAGAGCUGAAAAAAGAAAAGUCCGCGGCACUUUCACGUUGAUCCUUCGUCUUCGAUCUAUGCCGCCGGGCAUGACGCACCCUCCGUCAGAGUUCACGCCGGCCACGACGCUUCAUCUACAUCCGCAGGCUUUUAAUCGCCCUCUGGAGCAAGCAUCACCAGCAACCCUCGUAAUGGACGGCCUCCCACUCCUUUGUGCCUUUUACUAUUGUACAGAAUCUUGUGUGCCCAAAGAGCCUCAUAAUUGAUAAGAGCAUUCACACAGCAUGUCUGGGAAAUCAGAUCAGCACAACAUUUCAUUUAUAUACAAAAUCAACAUUUUAUUGGUUCUUCGUAUGAGUGACCAUCCUAUGUGAAUUCAGAUCCAAGUUGGCAUGAUGAAAUAUGGAUGGACAACAUCAAUAGGUCCAGUUCCUUGAGUUUGUGGUUAAUGGAGAAAGGCCUUCUAUCAUUGCUUAAGUGAACUCUCAGAUCUUUCAACAUGGUAUUGUUGAUCUGCGGGGGCUAUCAUUCUUCACUAUGCAACAUUGGCACUUUCUAGGCUGAAGUAUCUUAUCAAGCCCAUUGUUUGCAGCAUAACGGCCUAUGAUCAGGCUUGUACACAGUUAAUUGUCUCAUGUGUGCAAUGCAAGCAGAGCAGGUUUAAAUAAAUCCUAAUAGGGUUGUCUGUGCUAGAUGGUACUAACUACAUGUAUCAGGUUGAUAUAUAUUUCCUUCUUUGUCAAUGAGCAAAUCAUAAUAUGACUUAUUGACGUGUCAAGGCUUCUGUUGCAUUCUUAGGGAAGAUUGUGGUCAGUGAAAUUGCAUUGACUUUGAUUUUGAGUGCCGUUCACUUAUUUUUGCUUCUUUACUGUUUGAUUUGCCUAGACCAUUGGUAUACUAUUUAUCUACUAUUGAAAAUACAAUUUAAUUGAGUGGUUCUCCAACGAUAACAUUUUAUUGUGUUAUCCAUUGAUUACACAGAAAUUAUGCAUUGAUUCUUGGCUCUGCUAUUACGCUGCAGUUGCUCCCUCUGACGCCGUCUGCACUGCAAAGGCAUCAGUCAAUCAGGAUGCAGUUUGGAUACACUUCUACAUUUUUUAUUUCUUUGGAAGUCUUCCCAAUGUUUUCUUGGAGUAUAGUAUCUGAUGAUAUGUUUUACGAAGCUGGUUGUCAAUCAGAUCAUUGGUGAUAUUGUUGCAUAUCUUAAGAAUAGAAAUUAAAUUAGCACAUGUAGUCCUUUCUGAACUGAUUGCAUCCACAAAGAAUGGGACUAUCAGCAAUGAGGUAAUGUUGCUUCCUUUUGAUUGUGCUACUCUGCUGCAUUGAUUAUGAUGGCUAGAACUUGAUUUUGACAGUUUAUUUUGUUCGGUCUUGGAAGUGAAAUGGAUUCUGUAUCUUGCUUUCUUACUCUUGGGCACUUUUUCUUAGAAUCCUGGAUCUGGCUCAUGGUUAAUAUAUCAGUGUAAUUGAUCUGAACUAAUAAUUUAUCAGCUGCUUAUGUGUCGUGUUCGACAAACUGCCCACUCCGCUCCUUGUCAAGCCUCUCAUCUUCCAUGUAUAAAUGGAUCAUCUUUACUUUACUUCCUUGCUUGAUGCACUGGUUACUUCUCGCACACACAAAAAAUUGUUUUUGUGUUGCGCCGGGUGGUAGCACGCGGCAUGCGGCCUAUGCGCCUCGAACCACACGCCAACAAGUGCUCGGCGUGCCUGGACGGUGAUGUCUUGCACGAGCGCAACGAAGGGGCUGCCUCGUGGCGGCGGGGGUGCCGUAAGCCCAUCUGCGGGAGCUCCAUGGUGUACCUCAUGGUCGGCGACCACCAUCUAAUGUGCCCGCACGUGUGGUGUCGCUGCCCUGAGCCUGGCUGUGGCUUCCUCGGCCCGCCGCCCAACUUUCCGAGCGUCAACAGUGGCCCAUGAUCGACGUCGCCUUUGAGUCCAUGCUGGAGAUCCAGAUGUAGCUGGCAGAGCGAGGACAGUGGCUGCUUGCCGCGGAGGACCGGGAGCGGCUAUUCCUGUUGGUGUGCCUGAGCGCCGCCGCGGAGGAGGAAGUCCUGGGGUCGGCAUGGUACAGGUGCAAGGUACCAGAUGGACGCCAAGGUGAGGACAGUGGCUGCUUGCCGCGGAGAUGGAGGCGGCUAUGGACGUGGGCGGCAGGUACCUGCCAGUGCCGGCCGAUGUGCCGCCGCAGGAAGGAGGGAUCGUCCUCCGUCUUAGCAUCCUCCGUCUCCCAUCGACAAGCAGGUCAAGGCGAGGACGAACCCCUGUUCCCGGGGUUGACGAUUAGCUGGUCAGCUCCGGUUCUUUAUCUAAUCUACUAUUACUAAUGUACACAUAUAUAUCUACCAUGGCUAGACACCGGUGAUUUGGUAGUGAACUAGCAGUGAUCAAAGGUUGGACCUUGGCUGGGCUAUGAUUGAUGCUGUCAAUGGCAAUGGUUGCCAGACUUUGAUUGAUUAUGUCCAUGGCAAUGGUUGCAAAUGUA
rnacentral:rRNA from 1 species